UCCUGUAGCAAUGGGCUCUCGUUACAACUCUACACCGCGAUGCACACCAUGUCGCGGUCAUGCCUCCUCCCUCACCACCUCCUGCAGCAGCGGGUGCUCGCCUCGGCUCUGCACUACGAUGCACGCCACGUCAUGACCGUGCUCCAGCUCAUCCUACACGCCGCACCAUGCGGCUAACCAUGUCCAGGUCCAACACACAAUGCAGGCAUCACGCAUGGCGACAUCGGGAGAGACGUGAGGGAGAGGAACUGACCUACUCACUUCACGCGUGACACAUGACUACGGUGGAAACGGCUGGCGCCAAGACUACAGAGGAACUCAAUUAAAGGCAUCAUAAGGUUCAAGGAUGUGAUGGGAUGUCCAGUUUUUUUCUAAAUUUUGUUGAAGAUUUCACUCAUUUAUGUGUCAGAAAAGGUUUGGAAAUUCAUGCUCGCAUAUAGUAAGGUUGAAAUAGUUACUUGCUUUGUUUCUUAAAUUGUA